GACGGGGGGGCAAGUGUUCUUCGGAUGACUGGGCGUAAAGGGCACGUAGGCGGUAGAAUCGGGUUGAAAGUGAAAGUACGCCCAAAAAGUGGCGGAAUGCUCUCGAAACCAAUUCACUUGAGUGAGACAGAGGAGAGUGGAAUUCGUGUGUAGGGGUGAAAUCCGUAAUAUACGAAGGAACGCCAAAAGCGAAGGCAGCUCUCUGGGUCCCUACCGACGGCUGGGGUGCGAAAGCAUGGGGAGCGAACAGGAAUUAGAUACCCCGUAGUCAGACCAAGACCAUUCCUGUCGACCUAUCGAA
rnacentral:rRNA from 1 species